AUACUUACCUGGACGGUUUCUAUGGGCGAUCGAUAAAGUCCAUGGUCUAGGUUGGUGACCUCCAUUACAUUGAGGAGGGGUGCCCGCCUAAGGUCUACUCAAGUAGUGGAGCCUACGUCAUAAUUUGUGGUAGUGGGGCCUGCGUCCACGCGGCCCCUGC